rnacentral:rRNA from 1 species
UACGAAGGGGGGCUAGCGUUGCUCGGAAUGACUGGGCGUAAAGGGCGCGUAGGCGGUUUGUACAGUCAGAUGUGAAAUUCCCGGGCUCAACCUGGGGGCUGCAUUUGAUACGUAUGGACUUGAGUGGGGAAGAGGGUCGUGGAAUUCCCAGUGUAGAGGUGAAAUUCGUAGAUAUUGGGAAGAACACCGGUGGCGAAGGCGGCGACCUGGUCCUUGACUGACGCUGAGGCGCGAAAGCGUGGGGAGCAAACAGG